rnacentral:rRNA from 1 species
AGUCGAGCGGACAGAUGGGAGCUUGCUCCCUGAUGUUAGCGGCGGACGGGUGAGUAACACGUGGGUAACCUGCCUGUAAGACUGGGAUAACUCCGGGAAACCGGGGCUAAUACCGGAUGGUUGUUUGAACCGCAUGGUUCAAACAUAAAAGGUGGCUUCGGCUACCACUUACAGAUGGACCCGCGGCGCAUUAGCUAGUUGGUGAGGUAACGGCUCACCAAGGCAACGAUGCGUAGCCGACCUGAGAGGGUGAUCGGCCACACUGGGACUGAGACACGGCCCAGACUCCUACGGGAGGCAGCAGUAGGGAAUCUUCCGCAAUGGACGAAAGUCUGACGGAGCAACGCCGCGUGAGUGAUGAAGGUUUUCGGAUCGUAAAGCUCUGUUGUUAGGGAAGAACAAGUACCGUUCGAAUAGGGCGGUACCUUGACGGUACCUAACCAGAAAGCCACGGCUAACUACGUGCCAGCAGCCGCGGUAAUACGUAGGUGGCAAGCGUUGUCCGGAAUUAUUGGGCGUAAAGGGCUCGCAGGCGGUUUCUUAAGUCUGAUGUGAAAGCCCCCGGCUCAACCGGGGAGGGUCAUUGGAAACUGGGGAACUUGAGUGCAGAAGAGGAGAGUGGAAUUCCACGUGUAGCGGUGAAAUGCGUAGAGAUGUGGAGGAACACCAGUGGCGAAGGCGACUCUCUGGUCUGUAACUGACGCUGAGGAGCGAAAGCGUGGGGAGCGAACAGGAUUAGAUACCCUGGGUAGUCCACGCCGUAAAACGAUGAGUGCUAAGUGUUAGGGGGUUUCCGCCCCUUAGUGCUGCAGCUAACGCAUUAAGCACUCCGCCUGGGGAGUACGGUCGCAAGACUGAAACUCAAAGGAAAUUGACGGGGGCCCGCACAAGCGGUGG